UUGUGUAAAGGUUUUUAUAUUUUGUUCCUUACUGUGACUAAGUAUGUCACCACUUCUGAUUCUGAAAUUAAAACCCAUAGAUCUUGCUGUGAACUCAACCACACCUCCCAUGAUGCAGCAGAUAAAGUCUCAUUGAGAUGGCACCAAACCAGUGUCUUACCAACAUGUGACUGAAAUCAUAUAAACCCAUGAAGUUAUCAGUGCCUGUGACUACAGCCAACAGUGUGACAUUUGGAGCACAGGUGUCAUUAUGUACAUGCUAAAACUUGGAAAAAAAGAUUUUGAACUAAUAAGAAAGGAAGACCUCUGCUUUGAAAAAUUUGGUCUGGGAGACAAGUUACCAAGGCUGAAAGAGCUAAAAUUCCUUUCCCAAAAGCACUGAAAAGCACUUGUUCUCAGAAAUGGUCCCUGAGGAAGUAGAGACAGUGAUGACUCUUUUAAGUAGGAAGUCAUAUCAAAAUAGGAAAAAACCCUAGAAGGUAAGAAAUUACUUAUGGGGUGAGAUCAUCUAUGUCAGUGCUCUCUCUGACAGUGAUGACAGCAAAUGGUAUUUAGGGAGAA